rnacentral:rRNA from 1 species
UACGUAGGGUGCGAGCGUUGUCCGGAAUUACUGGGCGUAAAGAGCUCGUAGGUGGUUUGUCGCGUUGUUCGUGAAAACUCACAACUCAAUUGUGGGCGUGCGGGCGAUACGGGCAGACUGGAGUACUGCAGGGGAGACUGGAAUUCCUGGUGUAGCGGUGGAAUGCGCAGAUAUCAGGAGGAACACCGGUGGCGAAGGCGGCCCGCUGGGCAGGAAGACGGGGCAACCCGUCGGCUGACGCUGAGGCGCGACAGCGUGGGAGCAAACAGG